CGGGACACGUGGUAUCCUGUCUGAAUAUGGGGGGACCAUCCUCCAAGGCUAAAUACUCCUGACUGACCGAUAGUGAACCAGUACCGUGAGGGAAAGGCGAAAAGAACCCCGGCGAGGGGAGUGAAAAAGAACCUGAAACCGUGUACGUACAAGCAGUGGGAGCACGCUUAGGCGUGUGACUGCGUACCUUUUGUAUAAUGGGUCAGCGACUUAUAUUCUGUAGCAAGGUUAACCGAAUAGGGGAGCCGAAGGGAAACCGAGUCUUAACUGGGCGUUAAGUUGCAGGGUAUAGACCCGAAACCCGGUGAUCUAGCCAUGGGCAGGUUGAAGGUUGGGUAACACUAACUGGAGGACCGAACCGACUAAUGUUGAAAAAUUAGCGGAUGACUUGUGGCUGGGGGUGAAAGGCCAAUCAAACCGGGAGAUAGCUGGUUCUCCCCGAAAGCUAUUUAGGUAGCGCCUCGUGAAUUCAUCUCCGGGGGUAGAGCACUGUUUCGGCAAGGGGGUCAUCCCGACUUACCAACCCGAUGCAAACUGCGAAUACCGGAGAAUGUUAUCACGGGAGACACACGGCGGGUGCUAACGUCCGUCGUGAAGAGGGAAACAACCCAGACCGCCAGCUAAGGUCCCAAAGUCAUGGUUAAGUGGGAAACGAUGUGGGAAGGCCCAGACAGCCAGGAUGUUGGCUUAGAAGCAGCCAUCAUUUAAAGAAAGCGUAAUAGCUCACUGGUCGAGUCGGCCUGCGCGGAAGAUGUAACGGGGCUAAACCAUGCACCGAAGCUGCGGCAGCGACGCUGAUGCGUUGUUGGGUAGGGGAGCGUUCUGUAAGCCUGUGAAGGUGUGCUGUGAGGCAUGCUGGAGGUAUCAGAAGUGCGAAUGCUGACAUAAGUAACGAUAAAGCGGGUGAAAAGCCCGCUCGCCGGAAGACCAAGGGUUCCUGUCCAACGUUAAUCGGGGCAGGGUGAGUCGACCCCUAAGGCGAGGCCGAAAGGCGUAGUCGAUGGGAAACAGGUUAAUAUUCCUGUACUUGGUGUUACUGCGAAGGGGGGACGGAGAAGGCUAUGUUGGCCGGGCGACGGUUGUCCCGGUUUAAGCGUGUAGGCUGGUUUUCCAGGCAAAUCCGGAAAAUCAAGGCUGAGGCGUGAUGACGAGGCACUACGGUGCUGAAGCAACAAAUGCCCUGCUUCCAGGAAAAGCCUCUAAGCAUCAGGUAACAUCAAAUCGUACCCCAAACCGACACAGGUGGUCAGGUAGAGAAUACCAAGGCGCUUGAGAGAACUCGGGUGAAGGAACUAGGCAAAAUGGUGCCGUAACUUCGGGAGAAGGCACGCUGAUAUGUAGGUGAAGCGACUUGCUCGUGGAGCUGAAAUCAGUCGAAGAUACCAGCUGGCUGCAACUGUUUAUUA
rnacentral:rRNA from 1 species